rnacentral:rRNA from 1 species
GACGAACGCUGGCGGCGUGCUUAACACAUGCAAGUCGAGCGGUAAGGCCCUUUCGGGGGUACACGAGCGGCGAACGGGUGAGUAACACGUGGGUGACCUGCCCUCAGCUCUGGGAUAAGCCUGGGAAACCGGGUCUAAUACCGGAUAUGACUCCAUGACGCAUGUUGUGGGGUGGAAAGCCUUGUGCGGCUGAGGAUGGGCCCGCGGCCUAUCAGCUUGUUGGUGGGGUGANGGCCUACCAAGGCGACGACGGGUAGCCGGCCUGAGAGGGCGACCGGCCACACUGGGACUGAGACACGGCCCAGACUCCUACGGGAGGCAGCAGUGGGGAAUCUUGCGCAAUGGGCGAAAGCCUGACGCAGCGACGCCGCGUGAGGGAUGACGGCCUCGGUU